rnacentral:SRP_RNA from 1 species
GCUGGGCACAGUGGCGCAUGCCUGUAGUCCCAGCUACUCGGAGGCUGAGGCUGGAGGAUUCCUUGAGCCCAGGACUUCCAGGCUGCAGUGCCCUAUGCCGAUGGGUGUCCACACUAAGUUCAACAUCAGUAUGGUGACCUCCUGGGAGCGAGGGACCACCAGGUUACCUAAAGAGGGGUGAACUGGCCCAGGUCGGAAAUAGAGCAGGUCAAAACUUCCGUACUGAUCAGUACUGGGAUUGCGCCUGUGAAUAGCCACUGUACUCCAGCGCCUGGGCGACACAGCAAGACCCCGUCUCAG